AUGCCUGCCUUGGCUACCAGCGUUCCACAGCACAUACACGAAGAGCUAACAAUGGCAGAACGUGGCGGACUGCUUACGUUUCUCCUCCUGGGGCUCUUUCUCGGCCUCGCUGGAUCCAGUCCGCCGCCGGAGCCGGUAGAGUGCGCGCAUGGCACGUCCGACUGCACCGUCACCAACGUGUAUGGUUCCUUCCCGGACCGCACCGUCUGCCGCGCGGCCAACGCCACGUUCCCGCGCACCGAGGAGGAGCUCGUGGCAGCCGUGGCUGCCGCCGCCGCAGCCAAGCGCAAGGUGAAGGUGGCCACGAGGCACUCCCACAGCUUCACCAAGCUGGCCUGCCCCGGCGGCCGUGACGGCACGAUCAUCAGCACCAAGCGGCUCAACAAGACGGUGAGCCUCGACGCUGCCAAGGGGCUGAUGACGGUGGAGAGUGGCAUGGUGCUCAAGGACCUGAUCCAGGCGGCCGCGGAGGCGGGGCUGGCGCUACCGCACUCGCCCUACUGGUACGGAGUCACCAUCGGGGGCCUCCUUGCCACGGGUGCCCACGGCAGCUCGCUGUGGGGCAAGGGCAGCGCCGUCCACGAGUACAUCGUCGGGAUGAGGAUCGUAACGCCGGCGCUGGCCAGCCAGGGAUUCGCCGUGGUCAGGGAGCUCAGCGUGGGAGACCCUGACCUCGACGCGGUCAAGGUAUCUCUGGGCGUCCUCGGCGUCGUCUCGCAGGUCACGCUAGCCUUGCAGCCAAUGUUCAAGCGGUCAGUGACGUUCGAGACACGUGACGACAUGGACUUACCGGCGCAGGCCGCCGUGUGGGGCAGGCUGCACGAGUUCGGCGACAUGGCAUGGCUGCCAUGGCAAGGCAAGGUGAUCUACCGCAAGGACAACCGUGUACCCGUCUCGACCAAGGGCCACGGCCUCAAUGACUACCUCGGCUAUCGCUCGAACCCGACCCUAGCACUCAUCACGGACAGAGCCACCGAGGAGCGCCUGGAGGAGGACAAUAGUGACAUCGCCCGUUGCCUGGCGGCGCGGGUGCCAUCGGCGCUAUUCGAGCUGCAGGGCUACGGCUUCACCAAUGAUGGCUCCUUCUUCACAGGGUGGCCUGUGAUCGGGUUCCAGAACCGUAUCCAGGCGUCUGGCACGUGCAUCAGCAGCCCAGAGGACGGACUCCUCUCCACAUGCACAUGGGACCCGCGCAUCCGGAGCCCCUUCUUCUAUAGCUCCAGCUUCAGCAUAGCGCUUUCCAAGGCGCCGUCAUUCAUCGCCGAGAUGCAGAAGCUCCGCGACCUCAAGCCUUGCGCCUUCUGCGGUCUCGAUGCCACGCUGGGUGUGCUCCUCCGCUACGUCAAGGCCUCCUCCGCUUACCUUGGCAAAUCAGAGGACUCGAUCGACUUCGAUUUCACCUACUACCGGAGCUACACCCAAGGCGAGCCACGUGCCAACUCUGAUGUGGUCGAUGAGCUCGAGCAGUUGGCACUGUGCAAGUACGACGCCGUACCUCACUGGGGCAAAAAUCGCAACUUUGCCUUUGACGGCGUCAUUGCCAAGUACCCCAAAGCCGCUGAGUUCCUCAAGGUGAAGGCCAGGUACGACCCUGAUGGGAUCUUUUCCAGCGAGUGGAGUGACCAAGUGCUCGGCGCCAAAGGCAGCUCCAAUAUGGCUGAGAAAAGUUGCGGCAUCGAAGGGAUCUGCAUCUGCUCUGAUGACUCGCACUGCGCUCCAGAGAAGGGAUACUUCUGCCACCCGGGGAAGGUGUUCACGGAUGCCAGGGUUUGCUCAACCCGACGCACAUUCGGCGACGACCUUCUGAAGGAACAGUGA
rnacentral:rRNA from 1 species